UUCCUCUUUUCUUUUUUGUUCUUUUUUUUUUUUUACAUCCAUAUUUACAUAAAAUACAAACUAUAAAAAAAAACUCAAAAUUACACAAAUAUUACAUUAAACAAUUACAAUUACAAAAAUUAACCCCAAAACCGACUGAAAUUACAGGGAUAGCCUUCUGCCGCCGAAACAGUGUUCAGCUUGAUUUCUGGGAGCAGGAACAGUGGCGCCGCGUGGUUCCACGCGCCGCCGCCACCAGAAAAAAAAUCCAACAGCAGGGGGGUCCGGAUCGCCUUCUUCCCCUCGUCCUUUCCUCGCCGGCGGUGUGAAGUAAAGCC
rnacentral:lncRNA from 1 species